rnacentral:rRNA from 1 species
CCUACGGGGGGCAGCAGUCGAGAAUCAUUCACAAUGGGGGAAACCCUGAUGGUGCGACGCCGCGUGGGGGAAUGAAGGUCUUCGGAUUGUAAACCCCUGUCAUGUGGGAGCAAAUUAAAAAGAUAGUACCACAAGAGGAAGAGACGGCUAACUCUGUGCCAGCAGCCGCGGUAAUACAGAGGUCUCAAGCGUUGUUCGGAAUCACUGGGCGUAACGCGUGCGUAGGCUGUUUCGUAAGUCGUGUGUGAAAGGCGCGGGCUCAACCCGCGGACGGCACAUGAUACUGCGAGACUAGAGUAAUGGAGGGGGAACCGGAAUUCUCGGUGUAGCAGUGAAAUGCGUAGAUAUCGAGAGGAACACUCGUGGCGAAGGCGGGUUCCUGGACAUUAACUGACGCUGAGGCACGAAGGCCAGGGGAGCGAAAGGGAUUAGAUACCCGAGUAGUC